rnacentral:rRNA from 1 species
AGAGUUUGAUCAUGGCUCAGGACGAACGCUGGCGGCGUGCCUAACACAUGCAAGUCGCGCGGAGGGAUACGAGGAGCAAUCUGAGGAUUCCUGAGCGGCGGACGGGUGAGUAACGCGUGGGCAACCUGCCUUGCACUGGGGGAUAACGCGGCGAAAGCCGCACUAAUACCGCAUAAGACCACAAGGGCCGCAUGGUCCGGGGGUCAAAGGAGCGAUCCGGUGGAAGAUGGGCCCGCGUCCGAUUAGGUAGUUGGUGGGGUAAAGGCCUACCAAGCCUGAGAUCGGUAGCCGACCUGAGAGGGUGAUCGGCCACACUGGAACUGAGACACGGUCCAGACUCCUACGGGAGGCAGCAGUGGGGAAUAUUGGGCAAUGGGGGAAACCCUGACCCAGCAACGCCGCGUGAGGGAAGAAGGUCCUCGGAUUGUAAACCUCUGUUCCUGGAGAAGAGAAGAAGACGGUAUCCAGGGAGGAAGCCCCGGCUAACUACGUGCCAGCAGCCGCGGUAAUACGUAGGGGGCAAGCGUUGUCCGGAAUAAUUGGGCGUAAAGGGCGCGUAGGCGGCAAGGCAAGUCAGCAGUGGAAGUCCCAUUUUCAAGGUGGGGAGGGCUGUUGAAACUGCGUUGCUUGAGUGCAGGAGAGGUUAUCGGAAUUCCCGGUGUAGCGGUGAAAUGCGUAGAGAUCGGGAGGAACACCAGUGGCGAAGGCGGGUAACUGGACUGCAACUGACGCUGAGGCGCGAAAGUGUGGGGAGCAAACAGGAUUAGAUACCCUGCUAGUCCACACUGUAAACGAUGAAUGCUAGGUGUAGGGGGUAUCGACCCCUUCUGUGCCGGAGUAAACACAAUAAGCAUUCCGCCUGGGGAGUACGGUCGCAAGAUUAAAACUCAAAUGAAUUGACGG